GGAAGCUGGGACGCAGCAGCCGGGAGGUGUGCUGAGAGCGCAGCAGGAGCUGGGGACCUGGCGUCCAGCUGGGGAGCGAUGCUCACAGGGCUCCCAAAGCCGCAGCUGGGUAAGUGCUCGCCUCUCCUCACGGCUGUGUGCUUUACUGAGCUCCAUAGCUGCACAUCUCCUUCCUCACUGCAAAACAUACAUUUCCUCAUUUCAGCUUGUGAGGGCCCAGACCAACAUCCCAGCCCCAGGGGCUGCUCUGGCAGGAGCAGCAGCUGCAGCAGCAGCUGUCAGCGCUGUGACCGCAGGGAGGAGCCGCGGGAAAGAGAUGUCUGGGGAGUCACUGCAAGCACGGCACCUGGGUGCCUCUGCGUGUACAUUAACCAUUAAGUGGAGACUCAUAAAUCCCUCGCUUUUACAGAUUUUGCUUCCAAUGUGCAUGCUGAAGAGGAACCCCCUUGCACACAGCCUGAGGCCAUCUACUCCUGGGCUGGGCUUGCUCCUACCGUGCAAGGAGGCUGCCAGAGCUUCCCACUGUCCCCUGCCUGCUAGGGCCACAUCCGAGCAGCACGUGGCUGGCCCCACACUCCUACAUCCAUCUAACCAUCUCUAAUUUGCCUGUUGUAGUUCAGUAAGGCAGAGCCACGCGUGGUGCCAGCCUCAUGGUCAGCUGAGGAGCGGUGUCCCCCCAGUAGCACCGCACUCCCCAGGGAUGGCUGAUGAGAGAUAAGAUGGCAGAUAAGCUGGCGGGGUAGUGGGCAAACAGAGCAAGAGGGCUGGCCCAUUAGAUGGGAACAUCUCAGUUCAAGAGAAAGCAUUUUGUUCAUCUUCCAUUUUUUGAUUUAGCUCUCAUACUGCUUAGUUAAAAAACCAACCAAAAACCAGCAUGCUGAAUCGUUGCUACCAGGUGAGUGUGCUGCUUGACACAGUUCUGCAGGUAUGAACCAUAGCUGCUAUAUGUUUUUUUCCAAUUGUUUUAGAAAUGUUUUCAUAUUCUUUUUGAACUUUUGCCUGGUUUUCAAGUUAAAGUUACCCAGUGUCCCUCAUUCAGUUGGUUUUGUUGCUGAAUCCAAAAGUAUUAGCUGGACUGCCUGCUCCUCCUGGUUGUCCUCCCUGAAGGUCCAAAGAAGGUUUUCACAUGUACUCCUGUGAGAGUCCUAAGAGAAGUCCUGAUGAUUUUUUAUGGAAGACUUUGCAGAAAGUCUCCUUUUCUCUGUCAAUCUGUGGUGGGUGUCUCUCAGUGCUGCUGUCCUCUCUCCCCACAGACAUUGCAUGGAGUCUUAAGAGCCUGAAAAUGUGCAUGAAAAAAGCACUCCCUGCAUUUUGCCCUGCCGUGUUUUGAAGCCCUGUGACAGGUCCUGCAGCCUUGUUUGGGUGAGCACGCACCAGCAAAGGGUCCCAUCUCUGCCAGAAAGGACAGGAAGGUCCUGGUGCUUAUGUCACCUUCUGUACAGGACCUACAAGAACUUCACUGCUUUUAAAGUAGAUGCUUCUCUUUUUUCUUUCUUUCUUUUUCUAUUUCUGUGCAAAUACAAGCUGCCCCUUGGUAAACUCUGAGCUGAGAAACAUCUAGCAGUGCUGUCAAGAGGAAUCUACAUUUGCUUCAAGGAAAAUACGUGACUCAUCCCUGUGUCCCUGCUACAGCUGUGUGGAGUGAAGUCAAAACCCCCAUGGCUGGGAUGAAGCCAACUUCCAGCGAUACUUCUACAUAUAUUAUAAGUCCAGUAUGAAUGCCUACAGACGUUUCACAGACUGAACUCAGAAACGUACUCCUUGACACCGAGCCACCAUAUUAAAGGUGUUGAAGUACACGUUGUGUAAGCCUGAGGCAAUAUACAGAAUUAAUGAAAGAAACACCGCAUACUCUGAGCUUUGUAGACCACGACAUGAAAUAAUAUCUGGAUUUUUUUCACACACAAUUUUUCACAACUAUGAAAAUGCUGAUUCCAAGUAUCCUAGUAAAUAACUAAAUAACAGUCCUCUGACCCUGGUGAGACAAUUCCAUGCUAAGAGAUUUUCUUGAAAUUCGCAGCUGUUGCCUAUUAGAAAUGGUUUGGGGGUAUUGGCUUUGAAACAGAUAUUUUUUUUCCCUGCUACAUACUGCUGGUACUGCCCAUGAAAGAUGCACUGUUUGAUGUGAGUUUUUGCACAAAAUGAAUAUUUGAGUUUUGAGCUAUGAAAAACGUCUUCUUUUUCUGAAGAGUGUGAUACAUACUGAAGCUCCAAGCUCACUGGUUUCUCCUGAUUGAUAUCCACAGAUGAGCUAGUCUUCUACCUUAAACCACUCUUCCUGCAAGUAUAGAAUAACAACAUGGGCUGUCGGCAGAGUACCAGGUAAAUGUUAUCAUGGGCCCAAGGGCUUUCCCUGUCCCAAGAGCUCUUUUUGGAAGCCAGCAAAUGACUGUCAAAUGAAAGCAUAUUUACUUGAUGCAAACAGCAGUGAGAUGAUGUUUGCAAAUGCCUCCUUCUGUUUCCAAACAGUACAAACAACAAAGUACUGCCUCAGACUGAUUUCCACCAAAUAUAUUUUCACGCUUUUCCAUUGUUAGUUGGUUGGCUUUCCUUUUUUAUUAUUAUUAUUUUUUAUUUUUUUUGGGGGGGUUGGGGAGGCUGAGGGCAGGAAGUCAAUGCUUUGUAAGCUAUCCUCAGCUAGAAAAAGGUGAAGAACCAGCACUAUUUCAAGUCAAUGCAUUUUAAACAGAAUAUGCUCUCCGAUAUUACUAGUUGGCCAAUCUUUUUGACUUCAACUGUUGGUAGAUUUUUUUUUCCUUUGGCCUGGUCCAUUCGGAUACCGCAGAACUUCACGAAAUUAGUGAUGCUGCCUUUGAAAACACUGCCUAUUUUACAGAGAGGAAAUACUUAAAACUCAAUGAUAUGAAACUAACUAGAUAUAUUUGAAAUAUUGAUUACAUAUAUCUUCUGGAAUAGGAUAAUGGGAUAUUCCUGGUUGCUCUAUGCAUGUUUAUACGUCUCUGAAAUGUUUGAUUAAUGUGCACCUAAUCUUUCUUUCCGCUAAUAGACCAUCAUAUUUCUUACUAAGAAAUGAAUUAUUCGACCACUGGUACAAGUGGCUGAGAGAAGGCCAUUUAUAAUGCUGCAUCUUCAGCUAAUGUUUCUUCAGUAACUAAUCCUUGACCUGGAAAGCUCUUUCACAGAAAAUGACUAAUAUUGUCAAUUUUAAUUUUUGCUUUGAAUAUGUUUUUCUGAUGGCAGUCUAAUCUAUCCUAAAAUACUUUAUACUUUACAAUAUUAAUAAAACAUACAUAGAAAAUAAACA
rnacentral:lncRNA from 1 species